rnacentral:rRNA from 1 species
UACGUAGGGCGCAAGCGUUAUCCGGAAUUAUUGGGCGUAAAGAGCUCGUAGGCGGUUUGUCGCGUCUGCCGUGAAAGUCCGGGGCUCAACUCCGGAUCUGCGGUGGGUACGGGGCAGACUAGAGUGAUGUAGGGGGAGACUGGAAUUCCUGGUGUAGCGGUGAAAUGCGCAGAUAUCAGGAGGAACACCGAUGGCGAAGGCAGGUCUCUGGGCAUUAACUGACGCUGAGGAGCGAAAAGCAUGGGGAGCGAACAGG